CCUGCCGUCACCAACCAUGCUAACACCGAGACCCACCACCGGGGUAACCCGUGGCCCAGCAACUGGAGGGGCAAUGGCGUCAGAGGUCGACUCACCCGGGCGAUGGGCCACAGCUGUCCCUGCUCCACCAACAGCACUUCCAGCGUUCCCAGGACCUGCUGCCAAGCCUGCCGUACCGCUCCUCCUUUUUCCACUGGACCCUGCCUUUAAUGGCCGCUUUCC